AACGAACUAAACUCAAAACGGGUUUAAAAUGUUACUCUAGUGAUUUAUUAAAUUGAUAAAAACCUAGUGUAAAAAUACCUGCAUAUUAACUUGAUCUGCAGGAGAUUCGAUAUAUAAUUUAUUGCUUUAAAUUAAUCAACCACUUAUCUGUUUUAAAAUCAGCCGACCUCCACCAUUUUUAUUAAACUCUCCAGCUCAGGCACUUAUUACAGCCAUUCGUUCUCCAGCUCCCUCCACUCAUUACCCUCACGCUUCAUCAGCUAACUCCUGCACUCAUCACUCUCGCAUGCCCUUAUUUUUAAUCCAAGUGAUAAUGAAAAUCCUCUUCCAUUAGCAUUUUAAAAUGAAUUCAGAAGCCGCAUGUUAUUCCAAUCUCCCACUUACUUUUCCACUCUAAUUUUAAUAAGUUUUCCCUCCCCACCAGCCAACUAUGUUGAAUUUCAGCCGUUGAGAUUAAAGCUUCCAUCAUCAUUUUGUUUUUCUUUUAGUUAUUUUAUUCUCUCUUUCUUCAUCACUUUCUUUCUUUACAUUAUUAUAAUCUUCUUCUUUCUUCCUUAUAUUCCCUCUUCCUCUACUCCACGAACACAGAAGAACAAAGCUAACAGAGACUCAGAGAAGGAAAUUGAUUAAGAGAGAGGCAGAAAUGGUAUGGCUUGAGAGAAGAGAUGAGUCCGAGAGGUGGAAAAACUGGGAGAAUCGGUUCUGCCAUUUACCCACAACCCAGCUGACCCGAAGCCGGCAACCCAUAAACUGGAGACCCGAGUCCAUAACCGCGACCCAUGCUCCAGCAGGAUUGUUGCUCGGACAGUCUCGAUCCCGGCCCAACCCGAAGCCCAAAACCGUAGCAGGCCGAGCAAAACCCGACGAAGCCGUGACCUGACUCUUCUGGGUUGACACCCACGACUUAUGGUACGAUUUCCGGCGGAUCCAAACAGAGAUGAACCCGGUGGCCGGUGAGACGAUUCCGGCAGCAACCGUGACCCAGCCGAUUGUAGCAGACCGGAAACUGUGGACAUUCGGCCAGAACCAAAGCAGCCCAUACAACCGAUCCAGAACCGUGGACUCCAACCCAGUCCAUCCCUGCAACCCAUCCAGCACGUGAUCCAUCAACGAACCAAGGAACCCGAUCCUAACCGCAUCCUCCAAACAAUGAGCAGAAUCCGGCAAUUUUGUUGAGAACUUCCAUCACUGUGAUGGAUUUUCUGAGAAGACUUCGGCUGAGUGAAGGUGAGUAUGUAUGAGAUUUUGUGUCGGCUGUGUCUCCUACUUGUAGGUUUGACUGAAAUUAUGUGAGUGUUGUGAUUUGGACUUAAGCAAUGAUGGAUGAGUAUUCUGGACCCAAAUCUCCAACCCAUUAGGCCCAGUUGUGGUCCAGCCCCAUAGCCCAGCAAUGAGCCCAGCAGAAACCCAAACUCAAGCCCAUGACCCGAAUUCAGUGAUCCGACCCGCCGUUGACCCGCCGCCGGCAGUUUCUCCGGCGACUUUUCCGGUGACUUUUCCGGCGACUUUCCGGCGACUUUCCGGCUAUUUUCCCCGGCGACCAAACUCACCGUUUCGCUGGAUUUUCGAGUGGAAAUCCUUAAUAUGAUGAAUUGAGACAGCACAAAAAGGACUGUAAGUAUUUUUAUACUUACUGAGGGUAGCACUGGAUUUCAGUAAUGUUGUGUUUAUGUUUUAUUUUAAUUGGAUGCGUGUGACUGAUUAUUGCAUACUGUUAAUAAUCAACCUAUUAAUAUUGGGCGCGACGUCUCCCAAAGGUUCAUGAUAGAGUUGAACCGGAAACAAUAAUAAUCAUAUUGAUUGGGACGGCUUUCAAAGUACUAGAGGAGGGAGGUCUCCGAUAGUGCGAAAACAAGUUAAUUAAAAUGUAAUGUAGAGGGGACGGCCUCGAGAAACACGAUUAAACGGGGGGACGUGCCCUUACAAGAGAGGAGUGUAAUCACUAUAUAAACUGUUAAACUUUGCAUGAAAAACUAUCACCACAUCAUUAUGUCAUAUCUGUUCCUUAAAAUAACGCAUAAAUCAUGAUGUUGUUGAAAGACAGUUAGCUCACUCAUGGAACUAUGGGAUUGUGGCGGUAACCACCUUCUCAUAGAUGUUUGCGCAGGUACUGAAGAUUAUGGAAUGGAUUAACUGCUAGCUUAAGAGAUUUAUAGCUGUGUAGUUAGGAUUUUAGUACUUUGUACUCAUAGAUGUUUGUACUAUUUGCUUGUAAUAUGUCUAGACAUUUACUUGUAAUUAAUAAGUUCCAUGCAGGCUUUAGUGUCAUAUGUGACACAUGUUUCUUUGUAAAUAGUGUAAAGAUUUUUAAUGUAUUUUCUAGAAGAUGUCAGUUAAAGCUCUGAAUAUAUCGUAAGGGAGUUGUCCCUAUCGGUGAUGUUUAAAAAAAAAAGAUAUUCGUAUUUUUCCGCUGC